CCUACGGGUGGCAGCAGUGGGGAAUAUUGCACAAUGGGGGAAACCCUGAUGCAGCGACGCCGCGUGAGUGAAGAAGUAUUUCGGUAUGUAAAGCUCUAUCAGCAGGGACGAAGCAAGUGACGGUACCUGACGAAUAAGCCACGGCUAACUACGUGCCAGCAGCCGCGGUAAUACGUAGGUGGCAAGCGUUAUCCGGAUUUACUGGGUGUAAAGGGCGUGUAGGCGGGACUGCAAGUCAGAUGUGAAAACCACGGGCUCAACCUGUGGCCUGCAUUUGAAACUGUAGUUCUUGAGUACUGGAGAGGCAGACGGAAUUCCUAGUGUAGCGGUGAAAUGCGUAGAUAUUAGGAGGAACACCAGUGGCGAAGGCGGAUUGCUGGACAGUAACUGACGCUGAGGCGCGAAAGCGUGGGGAGCAAACAGGAUUAGAUACCCCAGUAGUC
rnacentral:rRNA from 1 species